UACGUAGGGGGCGAGCGUUGUCCGGAUUUAUUGGGCGUAAAGAGCGUGUAGGCGGCUUGGUAGGUCCGCUGUGAAAACUCGAGGCUCAACCUCGAGAUGUCGGCGGAAACCACUUGGCUAGAGUCCGGAAGAGGAGAGUGGAAUUCCCGGUGUAGCGGUGAAAUGCGCAGAUAUCGGGAAGAACACCUAUGGCGAAGGCAGCUCUCUGGGGACGGUACUGACGCUGAGACGCGAAAGCAUGGGGAGCGAACAGG
rnacentral:rRNA from 1 species